GACGAACGCUGGCGGCGCGCCUAACACAUGCAAGUCGAACGGAACUUGAGAGAGCUUGCUUUUUCAAGUUUAGUGGCGAACGGGUGAGUAACGCGUGAGUAACCUGCCCUGGAGUGGGGGACAACAGUUGGAAACGACUGCUAAUACCGCAUAAGCCCACGGCACCGCAUGGUGCUGAGGGAAAAGGAUUUAUUCGCUUCAGGAUGGACUCGCGUCCAAUUAGCUAGUUGGUGAGGUAACGGCCCACCAAGGCGACGAUUGGUAGCCGGACUGAGAGGUUGAACGGCCACAUUGGGACUGAGACACGGCCCAGACUCCUACGGGAGGCAGCAGUGGGGGAUAUUGCACAAUGGGGGAAACCCUGAUGCAGCGACGCCGCGUGGAGGAAGAAGGUUUUCGGAUUGUAAACUCCUGUCGUACGGGACGAUAAUGACGGUACCGUACAAGAAAGCCACGGCUAACUA
rnacentral:rRNA from 1 species